GUGUUCAGUGAGGAGUCUUGUAUGUUCCCCACAUUUGGCCAUCGCCUGUCCUGGAAAACAUGGGAAUCUCUGACUGCUGCUUGGGAAGUCGCAAGGGCACCCAUCAUGAAGGGGAAUGUAUAAUAUACACAAUCUGACUGCAGAGGACUUGGAGCUGUGCAGAGAAGGGACAGUGCCCUGUGAGGAGACAGAGGGGCAUGGCUGGGGGCAGAGGAGAGGCCCGGACCCUUCACCACCAUCUGCAGAAAGAGCAGCCACCCUCCCACUGCUGUCACACACAACAACACUUGUGCAAGUGAGGAGACCCCACACAUGGAGAAGCUCUCUGGUUCCUAAUUUCAGUAGAUGGAUGGGUGAAUGGAUGAACAGAUGGAUGGUCAUACAGCUUGCACUCUGCAUAUUAACCUGUAGUUUUACUGCACAUUACACAAACGUGCAGAUACAUCUGUGCAACUUUACCAACGCUUCAAGCCAGCUGUGAGCCAGCACCAAUCCAGAAGCCAUGUAAUUGUGACAGUGUAUACU
rnacentral:lncRNA from 1 species